GCUCGUGACCCUUAUUUACACUUCGGAUAGUGUCUUGAACGCACGAACAAAACGCCGCUAUUUGGAUAUAACGAUGGAUUAUUUUGGACCAAACCAACAUUUGUUAUUGAAGUAGCAGUCCUGGGAGUGCAUUCUGACGAAGAACAGCAAAGAUGAAAUCCUGUGACUAGUGAGGUCCGGCUACCCAACAACCUGCCCACUCGACCAAUCACCAUUCCUCACUUUCCUCAUCAACUCAUCCCUAACCACUGGCUGAGUUCUGUUUUCAAAACAGCCCGAGUUGCUCCCUUCCUCAAGGAACCAACACUCGACUCCUAUCUGAGAUCUAUCCACUUCCUUUGACAGUGUGAACCAUCAUGUCCUCCUCUCCACCCUCUCAGGGCUGGGCGUCUCAGGCUCUGCACACUUGGAUUGCAUCCUAGCUGGCAGGCCGCUCCUACCAGGUGACAUGGAGAGGAUCUGUGUCUGCAUCAUGUACUCAUACUACUGGGUUCCCGCAGGGCUCGGUUAUUUUCCUCUUUUCUCUAUACACCAAGUCACUCAGCUCCAUCAUAUACUCGCAUGGUCUCUCC
rnacentral:lncRNA from 1 species